AACGAACGCUGGCGGCAGGCCUAACACAUGCAAGUCGAGCGCGCCUUCGGGUGAGCGGCGGACGGGUUAGUAACGCGUGGGAACGUACCCUUCUCUACGGAAUAGCCUUUGGAAACGAAGAGUAAUACCGUAUACGCCCUUUGGGGGAAAGAUUUAUCGGAGAAGGAUCGGCCCGCGUUAGAUUAGAUAGUUGGUGGGGUAACGGCCUACCAAGUCUACGAUCUAUAGCUGGUUUUAGAGGAUGAUCGGCAACACUGGGACUGAGACACGGCCCAGACUCCUACGGGAGGCAGCAGUGGGGAAUCUUAGACAAUGGGCGCAAGCCUGAUCUAGCCAUGCCGCGUGAGUGAUGAAGGCCUUAGGGUCGUAAAGCUCUUUCGCCUGUGAUGAUAAUGACAGUAGCAGGUAAAGAAACCCCGGCUAACUCCGUG
rnacentral:rRNA from 1 species